rnacentral:pre_miRNA from 1 species
UGUUCAGAUUUCCUCGGCAGUUAACUGCAGCCGGAUUUCUAAUUCCUCGGCAGUUAACUGCCGAGGGG